UUUCACAAAGCUUCAUUCUAUAUCCAUAUGAACCAAAAAUGGGAACAUGUAAACAAUCAUUACAGUUGAAUAGGUUCGCCUAAAAUUUAUUUUGUUUCACACCUAGGGAAAAGAAGACACUAAAUUAAGAAUUAUUGUCACAUCUCUACGGCCGUAGUGAUUAACUAACAAUUGCUGACAAACCAUGGCAAUCUAUAAUUUGUCUGUCUAAGACAUAAGGCACCUUUUUCUUGUUUGCCGAUACCUGGAAUUUUUCAAAUACAUUGUAUGUCGAAUGAACUUACAGUUUUCGUCUCACAUCUUUAAAGUGCUACUGAAUAGAAGGAAUUAAUAUUUAGCUAUCAACUUGACAGUAAUGAGUAGUAA